rnacentral:rRNA from 1 species
GACGAACGCUGGCGGCGUGCUUAACACAUGCAAGUCGAACGGAAAGGCCCUGCUUUUGUGGGGUGCACGAGUGGCGAACGGGUGAGUAACACGUGAGUAACCUGCCCUGCACUUUGGGAUAAGUUCAGGAAACUGGGGCUAAUACCGGAUAGGAGCUCACCCUGCGGGGUGGGGGUUGGAACGUUUCGGCGGUUGGGGAUGGACUCGCGGCUUACCAGCUUGUUGGUGGGGUAGUGGCCUACCAAGGCUGUGACGGGUAGCCGGCCUGAGAGGGUGACCGGCCACAUUGGGACUGAGAUACGGCCCAGACUCCUACGGGAGGCAGCAGUGGGGAAUAUUGCACAAUGGGCGGAAGCCUGAUGCAGCGACGCCGCGUGCGGGAUGACGGCCUUCGGGUUGUAAACCGCUUUCGCCUGUGACGAAGCUUUUCUGACGGUAAAGGGAGAAGAAGCACCGGCUAACUACGUG